rnacentral:rRNA from 1 species
AACGAACGCUGGCGGCAUGCCUAACACAUGCAAGUCGAACGAGACCUUCGGGUCUAGUGGCGCACGGGUGCGUAACGCGUGGGAACCUGCCCUUAGGUUCGGAAUAACUCCCCGAAAGGGGUGCUAAUACCGGAUAAUGUCUUCGGACCAAAGAUUUAUCGCCUUUGGAUGGGCCCGCGUUGGAUUAGCUAGUUGGUAGGGUAAAAGCCUACCAAGGCGACGAUCCAUAGCUGGUCUGAGAGGAUGAUCAGCCACACUGGGACUGAGACACGGCCCAGACUCCUACGGGAGGCAGCAGUGGGGAAUAUGGGACAAUGGGCGAAAGCCUGAUCCAGCAAUGCCGCGUGAGUGAUGAAGGCCUUAGGGUUGUAAAGCUCUUUUACCCGGGAUGAUAAUGACAGUACCGGGAGAAUAAGCUCCGGCUAACUCC